rnacentral:misc_RNA from 1 species
AAGAGUUUAACAAAACUCCCUAACCCAUGUGAACUUACCUCUGUUGCCUCGGCAGGGCGCGGUGGGCCCCAGGCUUCGUGCCCCGGGCCCGCCGCGGCUCACCCUGCCGGCGGCCCCGAAAACUCUGUUUAGUACCUGAAUUCUGAACCUAUAACUAAAUAAGUUA